UACAGAGGGUGCAAGCGUUAAUCGGAAUUACUGGGCGUAAAGCGUGCGUAGACGGUUGCGUAAGUCAGAUGUGAAAGCCCCGGGCUCAACCUGGGAAUUGCAUUUGAGACUGCGUAGCUAGGGUGCGGAAGAGGGAAGCGGAAUUUCCGGUGUAGCGGUGAAAUGCGUAGAUAUCUGGAGGAACACCGGUGGCGAAGGCGGCAUCCUGGACCGACACUGACGCUGAGGAGCGAAAGCCAGGGGAGCAAACGGG
rnacentral:rRNA from 1 species